rnacentral:lncRNA from 1 species
GCUUCCCUUCUCCGAUCUCUCUUUUCUCAGUCGAACUCUGGCAUGCUGUGGUAAGUGACUUGCGUGUCCGAUAGCAAGUUACAAGUUUUUUGUUUAAUACAUCGAUUGCAACACUUUUGCAUGGUCACCUUGCCACUGAAUACCCUGAAAUUGUGUUUCAAAUAUUGAAACAUUUUAGCGGAGGCGCUUCAGAAGAAAAUCUUAAAGACCGCCUCGAUUAAUGUGGCUGGAAUAACGCUAGCUAGUUUAUUUAUCAUUCCUAGUAACUCAAAAACAUCUGACUUUUAUAGUCCAAGUGAUCACUGUGUCUGCUGAGUAAAUAACACUCACCAAACCUAAUGUUAUUUUUGAAGGAAUUCAACACGGGUACACGUCAACCCUAUGUGUGAAUGCUAGCAUGGAGUUUAGGAAGUUAGCUUGUCUGCCUAGCAGGCCAUUAUCUGCUUGAGCUGGUUGGCGAGAGUUUUCGACGUAUGUUAACUUGGACUUCUGGAAUUGUACCAUUUGAAGUGAGACUGUGCCCUUUAUGUACUGCUCUUAGUUGGCAUUAAAUAACUUAGAUAUUGUGCAUUUCCCGCCCAGCACGUGUUCCUUUGGUCCAGCCAUGUUUAACCCGGGUGCAAGUGGAUGGAAAGUUCUAGAACAACGAAGUGGCUACAAGAUCACGGAAUGGUCUACUGACGAGAAUCGAAGACCACCAGUGGCAUGUCGAGCCCAGUAUGUGCAGAUACAGUCACCUGGAGGGCUUAUUUGUGAUAAUGGUCUACUGACGAGAAUCGUACGACAUAGUUGACUCCACCAGGCUGUCUGUAGGAUGCGGCCAUGUCAGUCCCCAGGGGACCUUGAGUCUGGACACCAGUGAAUUGAUGUGGUGGCCACGCCUCCUGUACUGUGACUUCAUCUGAUAUUUGCAAGACUUUGCACAAGUCAAUUUAUAAGACUUGUACUUUCAUAUAUAUUUUUUUUGUGAAUUGCAUGUCAUGCUUUAGAAAAAGCAGUGGAAUAAAACUUGGUUUGUUUGUAAAAUCA